UGAAAAAGCCCGUUAGGGCUGGCAUGGUGAGCAUCGGCUUCUGCCGCAGCCGCCGUCCUCCUCCUUGCAGCUUCCUUCAUCGCAGCUCCCUCCUCUAGCCCUGCAGCUUCGUGGGUGAGCGGAACGGCAUUGGCGGUAAACAGUUUUCGUCUGGCAACAUCUGGUCCGUGUGCCGGCUGCCGUGAAGGUCUUCAAAGCUCGUCCGGAAGCCUGCUUCAAAAGGGACUGGUUAAGAAGGCACUGGAGUUCUCCGUGUUCUGCGAAGCUUUUGUUCCUCCCAUCGUCUUCUCAACCAACCGACAGCUUUGAGAUUUUCACCAACUGCAGGUGAUCCUAAUGCAGCCCAGCAAAUUACCUUUAUAUCUUCACUUAGAAUGUGAUGUAAAGGUUCGGUCAAAGACUAAAUAAUUGGAUCUCCAAUGAGUAAAAAGAUAAAAGACAAGAAGGAGAGCAGUAGUAGGGGCAUGGUGGUCAACACGGGCAAAAUGUGAUGGCUGAUAAACUUGCAGUAAAUAGUUUGGCAGAAGGCUUGUGCCUGGGAAGGCGAGUAAGCUGUUUCUCGGUGGCAAGGGAGACUCACUGGUCAUUGGGAUGCACAUUGCCUAGUUGACGCAAUCCAUUGAUAGUUGAAACCUGUGAAGAAGUCCAUGGACCAGGUGACUGAUUGUAGGGCGGCCUGUGAAUGGAAGGUGAGUGGUUUAUUAUAUCAGGAUCAGUAGCAUGGAUUUAUUUUGAAAUAAUAGAUUUGAUGUUCACUUGCACCUCCAGCAUGACUUUUUUAUUUUUUGCUGUAUUAUAGCAGACUGCCUAGUAAAGAAUUCUUGUGACACAGGACUAUGGACAUGCCUUAGAAUGCCCAAUUUAACCAAUAGGCACACAUACAUUAUGAAUCCCCAAAUUAUGCUGGAGGUUUUAUUGCUUGAACUGUUUUACCAUUCUAAAAAGGACCAAUGCAUUCCUGCUUGAUGUUGUUGGCCGCAUCUUUGAGAGGUACGCUUUGUUCAUGGGUUCAGGACAUCAAUUCAUGCUCUUAAGAAUGCUAGCAGAAUUAGUCCUUUGGUGGACAAGGGGCCUCAGAAGUGUCUUGCAAAACAGUCAUUUUGAAUACAACAUGCAUGUGUGGUAUUGUCCUUUUUUUUUUUUUGGUUUAUUCUGUAGAAAAAGAACGGGACAACGAAGCUGGAGGUAGGAACUGGAAGUCUGGAACAUUGGUGCACUAGAUGAAUGGCUGAAGGUGAUCCUAAUGCAGCCCAGCAAAUUACCUUUAUAUCUUCACUUAGAAUGUGAUGUAAAGGUUUGUUCAAAGUCUAAAUAAUUGGAUCUCCAAUGAGUAAAAGGAUAAGGACAAGAAAGAGAGCAGUAGUAGGGGCAUGGUGGUGUUCUACAACUUAUGGUGCUCUGUAGCAACAUGGGCAAAAUGUGAUGGCUGAUAAACUUGCAAACUUGCAGUAAAUAGUUUGGCAGAAGGCUUGUCCCUGGGAAGGGUGAGUAAGCUGUUUCUCGGUGGCAAGGGAGACUUACUGGUCAUUGGGAUGCACAUUGCCUAGUUGACUAAAUCCAUUGAUGGUUGAAACCCGUGAAGAAGUCCAUCGACCAGGUGACAGAUUGUAGGGCGUCCUGUGAAUGGAAGGUGAGUGGUUUAUUAUAUCAGGAUCAGUAGCAUGGUUUUAUUUUGAAAUAAUAGAUUUGAUGUUCAGUUGCACCUCCAGCAUGACUUUUUUAUUUUUUGCUGUAUUAUAGCAGAGUGCCUAGUAAAGAAUGCUUGUGACACAGGACUAUGGACAUGCCUUGGAAUGCCCAAUUUAACCAAUAGGCAUACAUACAUCAUGAAUAUCCAAGCAUGCAUACAUUAUGAAUCCCCAAAUUAUGCUGGAGGUUUGUACAGGCAGCUAAGCCACAGUUGUGGUUGGCCUUUUCAACGGGACAGAGUUAGGAGUCUUUUUCGGAAAUUCUUUGGUGUUGCUUAUGACAAAAGAAGCUGCUGGGCGUUUAAUUGUCAAAGUGUUUGGCAUUGGGUAUAAAAUUGGAUGGGAUCCCCAAGAGACUGAUCUAGUAGUGCAAGGGAGAACCCUAAUUGGCGAUUAGACUGGUAUCAUAGCAUACCAGGGCAGUGUUGAUCGAUUCCAGCCGAAAGGUAGCCGGAUGUCUCAGUUGAUCAUCCACGUGCCGCUUCAGCCAUAAUGUGAAAUUCCUCAUGGCUAUUUGCUACUGCAAAUUGGGACUGAGCUGUAUGGCCAUGCCCUCCGAGUUUUGGGCUAUGACUCCGGUGGCAGCUCUUCCUCUUCCUCUGGCAGCUCUUCCUCUUCCUCGUUGAAUUUCAUCAGGUACGUCCCCUACAAUUGUGGUUGUUCAAUAUUAUAAUCUAAGGGCCAAAUCUAACCAUUACAGCAUCAAUAGACUGCUACCACCUUGGUCAAGAGAGAAACUACUUAAACCAUCUAAUUUUCGGUUCUUCCAAAUGCACUACAGAAAGGGAAACCCUUUGGCAAACUAAAAUUCCCUGGCAGUUAGGCUCAGCUCCAAAGCUCCAAAGAUCCAGCUAAGUGAAAUACCUCCUUAGGCGUCUUUAUGUAGGGUAUGUUUUUUUCUCUAUAUCCCCCUGGGAGACUGUUGAACUUGUUCCUGUGACUAAGGUGCCUGAAGAAUUAGGAUGAGUAGGAGGGCGAUGUACGUUGAUUGAAAAUUUAACAUGGCUCUACAAUUGCCCACAUCCUAAACCCACGAAUGAGUAUCAUAAAAGAGAGACAGAGAGAGAGAGAGAAAGCACCUUCAACCAUUCAUCUAUUCAUCUAGUGCCCGACUUCCAGUUCCUACCUCCAGCUUUGUUGUCCCGUUAGUUUUCUACAGAAUAAACCAAAAAAAAAAUUGCAAGACACUUCCUAGGCCCCUUGUCCACCAAAGGCAUUCUUAAGAGCAUGAAUUGAUCUCUUGAACCCAUGAACAAAGCAUACCUCUCAAAGGCUAACAACAUCAAGCAAGUAUGCAUUGGUCCUUUUGAGAGGUUGUGCAGAGGAAGUCGCCAGUAAACAAACACAGGUUCCAAUCUUUACUCACCGUGACCAUAACAUCAACACAGAACUAUUGAAGUCAUUCAAUGGAGCAGGGGUUGCUUGCCAGGAAAUGGGGAGGGGGAAGCAAUUGCAAGAUCUAAAUCAAUGUGUAUGUAACCACCUCAGACACGAGGCAUUAUGAGGGAGAGGGUUCAUGUUUUGGCAGAUGCCUUGGGACAGCCCAUGCGAAAAGCCCCAGCGACAGCCCAAAUCUGAUGGGCAAAAGAACCUGCAAUCAACUUGAUAGAAGCAGAGAUGUUUUGGUUCUGUUGGGGGUUAAUCAAGGUUAAUCAAGUAGUCAAUGCACUGUGGGGGCCUGGACUGCAUCUCCUGGCUCAAUGGAAGGCUCUUCUCGUACAACAACCAUUUUUCUUUACACGUUGAGGAGAAAGUGUUUUUUAGGCAUUGGGUAUAAAAUUCUAGUAGUGCUUAUAUAUGGUCUAAGGACCACCACUAACCUUGAGAGUUUGGCCCUCUGGCGAUGGAUAACCCUAAUCGGGGAUUAGGAGUUCGAAGGGGGGACUCUUGUUAGGGGUGGCUGACACAAAGCCUUUCCAAUAAUUAGGUGUUUGGAUUCACCUACCUAAUAUUGUUAGGUUUUUAACUUCACAAUUUUGGAUCAAAGGAAAUUAUCUUGAAAUGUGCAUUGGGUAACAACCAAGGUUUUCAAACCCAAUGUGAUAACUCGGAUGAAGGCAAUUUGAAUUCCUACCAUCUUUUUCGAGAUUCAGCUGUUGUUUUGAUUGCAAACAGUCCUCCCCCAACAAACUAACUUCAUUCUAUGUUGGCACUUGGAGAAUCCGUCCAUCCUAUUCAUUGCUAAGUUGACAUAUCCUGUUCAGGACAGUGCUUGCUUGCUGUCAUCUGAAUAGUUUGUUCAAGUAGGAUUUUGGAUUGUUUCUCUCGGUACUUUAAACUGGAGACUGAAGAAUGGAAGUAAAUUCCUUUCAUUUGUGUUGUCAACAUAAAGUAAGGUUUGACUGCACAGCAUUCACGGGAGAAGCACAGCUGUUGUUUUCGCUUUGAUUCGUCUCGGACCAGCUCAUCAUAAAGGAUGAGAUAGAAAAUUUGGUUCAAGAAUUCCUUCAGUCAUUCAUUCGUAAAAUGAAACCGUUUUCUUUGGUUUGGGAAAUGAACGUCAUAUGAAACGAGCUGCCACACCAUACUUGAUCUUUUGCGGUGAUUAACUUCACCUCUGUACGGUAUCUCCACCGGUGGU